rnacentral:rRNA from 1 species
AGAGUUUGAUCCUGGCUCAGAUUGAACGCUGGCGGCAUGCGUAACACAUGCAAGUCGAACGGUAACAGGCCCUUCGGGGUGCUGACGAGUGGCGAACGGGUGAGAAAUGCGUAGGAAUCUACCCAGUAGUGGGGGAUAACCCGGGGAAACUCGGGCUAAUACCGCAUACGCUCUACGGACGGAAAGCGGGGGACCGAAAGGCCUCGCGCUAUUGGAUGAGCCUACGUCGGAUUAGCUAGAUUGGUGGGGUAAUGGCCUACCAAGGCGACGAUCCGUAGCUGGUCUGAGAGUACGAUCAGCCACACUGGGACUGAGACACGGCCCAGACUCCUACGGGAGGCAGCAGUGGGGAAUAUUGGACAAUGGGCGAAAGCNCUGAUCCAGCAAUGCCGCGUGUGUGAAGAAGGCCUGCGGGUUGUAAAGCACUUUCGGUGGGGAAGAAAAGCUCGGGGCAUAAUACCUCCG